rnacentral:rRNA from 1 species
AUCUUGGUUCAGGAUGAACGCUGGCGGCGUGCCUAACACAUGCAAGUCGAGCGAUUCACUUCGGUGAAGAGCGGCGGACGGGUGAGUAACGCGUGGGUAACCUGCCUCAUACACAUGGAUAACAUACCGAAAGGUAUGCUAAUACAGGAUAACAUAAGAAAUUCACAUGUAUUUCUUAUCAAAGCUCCGGCGGUAUGAGAUGGACCCGCGUCUGAUUAGCUAGUUGGUAAGGUAACGGCUUACCAAGGCGACGAUCAGUAGCCGACCUGAGAGGGUGAUCGGCCACAUUGGAACUGAGACACGGUCCAAACUCCUACGGGAGGCAGCAGUGGGGAAUAUUGCACAAUGGGCGAAAGCCUGAUGCAGCAACGCCGCGUGAGUGAUGAAGGCCUUCGGGUCGUAAAACUCUGUCCUCAAGGAAGAUAAUGACGGUACUUGAGGAGGAAGCCCCGGCUAACUACGUGCCAGCCGCCGC